AUUGAACGCUGGCGGCAUGCCUUACACAUGCAAGUCGAACGGCAGCACGGGAGCAAUCCUGGUGGCGAGUGGCGAACGGGUGAGUAAUGUAUCGGAACGUGCCCAGUCGUGGGGGAUAACGUAGCGAAAGCUACGCUAAUACCGCAUACGAUCUAUGGAUGAAAGCGGGGGAUCGCAAGACCUCGCGCGAUUGGAGCGGCCGAUAUCAGAUUAGGUAGUUGGUGGGGUAAAGGGUCACCAAGCCGACGAUGUGUAGUUGGUCUGAGAGGACGACCAGCCACACUGGGACUGGGAAACGGCCCAGACGCCUACGGGAGGCAGCAGUGGGGAAUUUUGGACCAUGGGCGCAAGCCUGAUCCAGCAAUGCCGCGUGCAGGAUGAAGGCCUUCGGGUUGUAAACUGCUUUUGUACGGAACGAAACGGCGAGCUCUAAUACAGUUUGCUAAUGACGGUACCGUAAGAAUAAGCACCGGCUAACUACGUGCCAGCCGCCGCGUAA
rnacentral:rRNA from 1 species